UUAAAAGUAGUUUAAAUAAGAAUAAUAACUUUGGGAGUUAUAGGUUGAAAUUUUUACUUUUAAA
rnacentral:tRNA from 1 species